CAAUAGCGUAUAUUAAAGUUGUUGCAGUUAAAAAGCUCGUAGUUGAAGAUCUGGGUGAAGGCCGUGUCAUUGACACUAGGCCGGACCCCUAUUCACGAGGAAGCCUUAGUGCAUUAACUUGUGCUUUGGUCGAUUCGUGUCGUUUACUGUGAACAAAUUAGGGUGUUUAAAGCAGACCUCUGUUUGUAUACAUUAGCAUGGAAUAAUUAGAUAUGACUUCAGUUAUAUUUUGUUGGUGAUAACUAAAGUAAUGAUUGAUAGGAACAGUCGUGGGUAUUCGUAUGAGCAUGUCAGAGGUGAAAUUCUUGGAUUUUGAUCAGACGAACUACUGCGAAAGCAUUUACCAAGGAUGUUUNCAUUAA
rnacentral:rRNA from 1 species